rnacentral:tRNA from 1 species
UCCCUGGUGGCUCAGAAGGUAAAGAAUCUGCCUGCAGUGCAGGAGACCCAGGUUCAAUCCCUGGGUUGGGAA